rnacentral:rRNA from 1 species
GAAAUUGUAAUUCCGGUGAAGAUGCCGGAUACCUGCGACAGGACGGAAAGACCCCAUGGAGCUUUACUGUAGCUUGACAUUGGGUCUUGGUACUACAUGUACAGGAUAGGGGGGAGGCUUUGAAACCAGGACGCCAGUUUUGGCGGAGCCAUCCUUGGGAUACCACCCUUGUAGUACUGGGACUCUAACCAUAGGCCAUGAAUCUGGUCUUGGGACACUGUCAGGUGGGCAGUUUGACUGGGGCGGUCGCCUCCCAAAAGGUAACGGAGGCGCUCAAAGGUUCUCUCAGUACGG